ensembl:lncRNA
UGAUGAACAGAAGUUGGGUGUGUUACUCAAUGAUCAUUUCGCCAGCAUUGACAUAACACACACCUGUCGUCGCCUCACCAUGCUCUUCUUCCUUCACUGGAAUGGUUUGAAAGGGAUAUUCAAAACAUUGCCACUUCUACACGCUAUAGAAGGCACAGCCAAUGAAAAUGGGGGCAUUCCAGAGGACAGUGAGACCCUCCCAGACCAAACUGCACCAGAGGCCGCGGCACAGCCAGCCAGUGAGAGCUCCAUAGCCCCAGCCACAGCAGAGCCCACAGGGAGCCCACAGGCAGAGGGCACUGAGGCUGCUGCCUCUGCUGCCUCCGCUGCCUCUGCCCCUGAGUCCUCCAGCCCCGCUCCAGCCUCCAGUGACUCCACAGCCCUGCCGGCAGCAUCUGAGGGUGAUGCCCCAGCAGAGGGCACCUCGAAUGAGGCUGCAGCUGCGUCUGGAUCCCCUGCCGAGGCCUCAGACAGCCCUGCUGAGUCAGCCCCCGAGCCAGCAGAGGGGACAACAGAAGAUGCUGCAUCAUCAGAGACCCCGGCUGAAUCCAACCCUGAAGCCCCAGCUCCCACCGAGGGGAACUAAGGGUGCCCCAGAGGGACACAUACCCACAAAACCCCAUGAUGCUCACCACAUUUCACAGUGUGCAAAAGCAAGACUGUAAAUCCACAGGGAACUUUAUUUAUAAAACCUUUAAAUUGGAGGCAGUUGAGCAAUAGCUUGUAACAGCUCAGGUACCAGCACACAAGGAGUCUGAUUACAGGAAGUUAUAUUUGAACCCCUUUUAUAUAGUCAUUUUAGUUUGAAAGUUAAAGUUGGUUAAAGUCACCUGGAACCAACCGUGCUUUUACAAUGGUCCCUACUGUGAGGGUCACGUCUACAAUAAUUCAGCAAUUGUCUGUUGCCAAGAUAGACAGACCAGUCUCAAAAGCUGGAGUCUAACAGAGUGACUGUGCCUUCAUUUCCUUCUGUUGGUGUGUGAGAAGAAUUUAUACUUUUGUAUAUACCAUAUUUCACCAGCACAAUAAGAUAAGAGAUUAUAUAAAUUACAUAGUAUAUAGCUUAAUGUCUUUGAAAUACAACUACUUUACUGUGAAAGGUUUGACUUUUUUUUUACGUAAAAGUCAAGACUUGGACUUAAUCGCCUUACACCUCUGUGUAUUUCACAAAUACACAGGCUAUAUAUGUAUUGUAUAAUCCACGACCAUUUAAAUGAUUGAAAGCCAAAGAAUUUGCAAAGAUUUAAAUUUUCUUUAUGCAGCCUCGUCCAUUUUACUGUAAUUUCCUGAAUCAGAAAUAAAAGGUCAACUGAAAAUUUGCCUUGUGAACCUGAAAGUAAGUUGAUGUCAGUCAUACCAGCAUGGGUAUAAAAGGUAAAUUAGGCUCCGCUCAUUUGCAUCUCUGAAACCAUAUUAAAUGUUUAAGAAUUCAAAUCAGGUCCCAGCCACAUGUAUUAUUCGUCCACCUCUGAGAAGAUUCUUCAUGUUGUUAAUGUUUGAUGCAUAUCUGUCAGCACAGUGUCGUAUGUCAGCUUGUCUACCUAACUGGGCUGAAGAAGAUGCUGUUGAAGCCUGUGGCCUUUCCAAAGCAGACAGUUUGGUUUGUUCAUAGCAAUACGUAAAGCAAGUUUCAAUGAAGAAAUGGUGGAGUUAUGGUUAAGAUCAUCGGUAUGUCUAUAGUGAUAGUGAGUAAAAUUAAACAUUAAAACUUUGCCUCAAUGACUAAAGCACCAGGGGCCUAUACUAUGAAGCCAGUUCAACAUGCAGGCUAUCUUUUUGUCAGCUGGCUUCACAAACCCUAACAACUGAAGGCACGUAUCAACAAUCUCACAACAGUGGUUAUCAAUGUGUUAAAUCAACCCAAGUUUACCCAAUCCCACUAUGAGUGUGUUCCCGUAAAAGUGUUGGCACCAAAUGACCAAUCACAAACAUGGAAAGGGCUAGAGCUGCAUAUUUCACUCAAGAACAAACUAUAAUCCUUAAGAACUAUGAAGAA